AAUAGUUUUACAUAUAAAGAAUAAUAUAUAGGACUAACACUUCUUAAUUCAACUAUAAUAUUUUGGACUGCGGCUAGGCUUAAAAGGCUAAAAGAGUUAAAAUGCUAGGGUUAAAGUAGUCCUAGGAUGAGUGACCUUUUUAGAAAGUGGGGCAUCACAGUUGAUAUCAGAGCCAAUUAUCAACUAAAAAUGUAAGAUGAUUGAGUCUUAACUGAGUCAGAAUUAUACA
rnacentral:lncRNA from 1 species